UACGGAGGGCGCAAGCGUUGUUCGGAAUCACUGGGCGUAAAGCGCGUGUAGGCGGCUUGGUAAGUCGGGUGUGAAAGCCCGGAGCUCAACUCCGGAACUGCACUCGAAACUGCCUCGCUCGAGUCCCGGAGAGGGUGGUGGAAUUCCCGGUGUAGAGGUGAAAUUCGUAGAUAUCGGGAGGAACACCAGUGGCGAAGGCGGCCACCUGAACGGUGACUGACGCUGAGACGCGAAAGCGUGGGGAGCAAACAGG
rnacentral:rRNA from 1 species